AUUGCUGGAUCAUGAAUGUCGUGUAAAGCAUUUUAAAUUUUCAAGAAUGCAUCAGCUCUCGACGAUUCCCCAUUCGGGUUUGGUAAUCAUGGAUAUCUUCUGAAAAACGUUUCGUGCAAAUCAAGCGAGCACGAUAUAGGGGAGUGUCAGAGUUUCCCAUGGAAUGAAACAUCCUGCGGAGAUGGAAACGUGGCAACUGUUUUUUGUCGAGUACUCGAAACACCAAUUCGUCUUCUGGGAGGCAAAACACCGUUCGACGGGCGGGUUGAGUUGCAAUUUAAAAAUGACUGGAAACCAAUAUGUUAUAGUGGUUAUAAUGGAAAGAUCAGCACAGACGUACUUUGCCAUUUGCUAGAAUAUAAUUUUUCAAGAGAUUCAACCUAUACAACCAACUCUGAUUAUUCCAACUCCUUGCUGAGAGACCUGCAAUGCGUUGGAAAUGAAUCUGACAUCUCGCAUGUCCUUCCUCGGACUGGGGAUACACUUAUUGCA